GCUCUUCUCUCUGGUCUGAUGUGUGUGUUUUUGGCUACAGAGAUGAUAAGAUUACGAAAUUGAAAUCGAAGCAAAAGAGAGAUUGAAGAAGAAAGAAAAAAAAAGAGAAAGACGAAGACUGGAGGAAUCUUUUUGGAAAUUCGUCUUACCACAAACACCCCUCCCUUUUAUCAGAUUAUUACGCUUCUGCCAUCACACGCUUUUAUUUUCUCUUCAAAUUCUCGUCAACACCGGUCAAAAUAUCAUUUGACUGUAGUUAUCAAUGUUCAAGAUUAUUACGUAUUUGCCACGGAGAUAUACAAAUUAGCUGGAUUUUGGUUUUUGUUUAGCAUGUCUAAUGCCGUACUUAACUUUAUAACACAUGAUUAAUGCCUCACAAUCACUAAGUGCGUUUCCCGCCUU